rnacentral:rRNA from 1 species
GAUGAACGCUGGCUACAGGCUUAACACAUGCAAGUCGAGGGGAAACGGCAUUGAGUGCUUGCACUGAAUGGACGUCGACCGGCGCACGGGUGAGUAACGCGUAUCCAACCUUCCCGUUACUGCGGGAUAACCUGCCGAAAGGCAGACUAAUACCGCAUGUUCUUCGAUGACGGCAUCAGAUUCGCAGCCAAGAUCCGUCGGUAACGGAGGGGGAUGCGUCUGAUUAGCUAGUUGGCGGGGCGACGGCCCACCAAGGCGACGAUCAGUAGGGGUUCUGAGAGGAAGGUCCCCCACAUUGGAACUGAGACACGGUCCAAACUCCUACGGGAGGCAGCAGUGAGGAAGAUUGGUCAAUGGGCGGAAGCCUGAACCAGCCAAGUAGCGUGCAGGAUGACGGCCCUACGGGUUGUAAACUGCUUUGAUGCGGGGAUAAAGUGAGGGACGCGUCCCUUUUUGCAGGUACCGCAUGAAUAAGGACCGGCUAAUUCCGUG